rnacentral:rRNA from 1 species
GAUGAACGCUGGCGGCGUGCCUAAUACAUGCAAGUCGAGCGAACAGACGAGGAGCUUGCUCCUCUGACGUUAGCGGCGGACGGGUGAGUAACACGUGGAUAACCUACCUAUAAGACUGGGAUAACUUCGGGAAACCGGAGCUAAUACCGGAUAAUAUAUUGAACCGCAUGGUUCAAUAGUGAAAGACGGUUUUGCUGUCACUUAUAGAUGGAUCCGCGCCGCAUUAGCUAGUUGGUAAGGUAACGGCUUACCAAGGCAACGAUGCGUAGCCGACCUGGGAGGGUGAUCGGCCACACUGGAACUGGGACACGGUCCAGACUCCUACGGGACGCAGCAGUAGGGAAUCUUCCGCAAUGGGCGAAAGCAUGACGGAGCAACGCCGCGUGAGUGAUGAAGGUCUUCGGAUCGUAAAACUCUGUUAUUAGGGAAGAACAAAUGUGUAAGUAACUAUGCACGUCUUGACGGUACCUAAUCAGAAAGCCACGGCUAACUACGUG